rnacentral:tmRNA from 1 species
GGGGGUGCGUGGCUUCGAUUCCGAGGAUCGAGGCGGGUGAAGCGAGCCGACGUCGCCGGAUCGUCGUGAAAGAGCCGGCAACCAAACAUAAAUGCCGAGGACAACCUCGCACUCGCUGCUUAAUCACUAAGUAGCGCGUCCAUUCCGGCCCAGCCGCUCGGCCGGAUCGUGGGCGUCAUGCAGAGCGGCUCACCGCCGGGACACGCCUGAGGGCCCGGCGGGACAUCCCACUCGGGCUGGGGCCGCCGACGGACGCCGAUGACCGGCGGCGGCCCGAGACUUUCCCAUCGGCUGCGCUCGGAGAAGCCCCGGCAAGAGCUCGGAAGACGCGGGUUCGACUCCCGCCACCUCCACGC